UACGUAGGGUGCAAGCGUUGUCCGGAAUUAUUGGGCGUAAAGAGCUUGUAGGCGGUUUGUCGCGUCUGCCGUGAAAGUCCGGGGCUCAACUCCGGAUCUGCGGUGGGUACGGGCAGACUAGAGUGAUGUAGGGGAGACUGGAAUUCCUGGUGUAGCGGUGGAAUGCGCAGAUAUCAGGAAGAACACCAAUGGCGAAGGCAGCUCUCUGGGACGGUACUGACGCUGAGACGCGAAAGCGCGGGGAGCGAACAGG
rnacentral:rRNA from 1 species